UACGUAGGGGCUAGCGUUGUCCGGAUUUAUUGGGCGUAAAGAGCGUGUAGGCGGCCAGGUAGGUCUGCUGUGAAAACUCGAGGCUCAACCUCGAGACGUCGGCGGAAACCAUCUGGCUAGAGUCCGGAAGAGGAGAGUGGAAUUCCUGGUGUAGCGGUGAAAUGCGCAGAUAUCAGGAGGAACACCGGUGGCGAAGGCGGAUCUCUGGGCCUUACCUGACGCUGAGGUGCGAAAGCGUGGGGAGCAAACAGG
rnacentral:rRNA from 1 species